rnacentral:lncRNA from 1 species
AUGUAGUUUCAACUUUUUUUGUUGUUGUUGUUUUGUUUUCUAAAUUCUAAAUUAUGGGAAAGUUUUUUUUUUUUUUUGCCAUUGCAGAGUUCAGUAUUUGUUCUGCUAUUUUACUUCAGGUUUUUUCUCUAGAUACUUUAUUACCUAUAUGCUGAAUCUUUUUUGCCUAUUUGUCAUUUUUUAUUUUUUCUUUUUAUUUUUUCCUUUAUGUCUUUAUGACUAAAACAAAUUUCUCCUAUUUCUCUCAAUGCAUUGACUGCCUGUUAUUUGCCCUUGUGUUCCUUCCAGUUUAGCCCUCAUUUCUGAGAUGAUUUUCAUUUGUCCUGAAUUCUUUCCCAAGUCAUCUUUUUUCCAGGUUUCCCUUGCUUCUCUCUUCUCCCUCCACACAGACGCUGGUAUCACGCAGGGCCGUGGCCAUGGUGGUCACCUCCACUUGCUUUUACGUAGGGCCUAGAGGGUGGGGACUGUAUCAUCUAGUUUUGUUGUUUUUGGCCAUUUGCCCAUGUGUUUUUGGUUUUACUAUCUAAUUUCCAUGUUAUUUUUGUGUAGGAUUCAAGGAGAUUCAAAACCCGUGUCACUGCUGCCAUCUUCCUAGAAUCCCUUUAAAUCCUCAUGGAUUUGCUGACAUUGGGAGCAUCCUGAAAGAGUCCCCAUGCUAGGGUGGCUGCAGUAACAGGUUCUCCCCACUCCAGAAAAAAUCAAAUCAGAUUGUGAAUUUAUUCCCUGACAUUAACACACGGCAUUACAGGAGCAUGUACAUCACAUGGUCAAUUUAUUGGCAUGAGGAUUAUGUCAUCGGGGAAUAAAUGGGAAAUUCUCAAGGUGGCCCAGGCCUGUAGGCUUCCAGUGAGAAAACUGGAGACCACACUCACCCGUCCCACUGCCGUUUCUUUGGGGCUGCCUGUGAUACUGGGUUAUUCCCCUUGCCGAGUUCCACUGUGCUUACCCUGUUGGAAUAUGAUGGUGGACUUGCCAGAGGAGAUGACCAUGAUUUUCAGGAACAGCAGCCCCUCCUUCCUGGUUGAGGCAGCCAGCAGGCACUCCUAUCCAUGAGCCACAGCUCAGCUAAGGCAAUCCAGUCCAGCUGCAUGCCCUCUCUCUGCUUCUGGGGAGGUAGGAAGGACCAGGGGCAUUCAUGCUUGUUUCUAGGGGGCCCUAACUGGAUCUCUGGAUCAAGACCUACUCAGGGGAGAAAGACUACUCUGGGUUCCAUGUUAGGACUGACGGGUGCAUCUUAACUGAGAUGCAGACAGUGGACAAUUCGAACUCUGACCUGAGAGCAAGCCCCAGCCUUGGUGCUCAUAAAUGCUCCGCUUGGUCCUUCACAUUUGUGUUCCACACAGGAGAAGCCAAGUUGUGAGCAGUGCACCUUCACAAGCAAAGCCUCGACUGAAAUCUUCUCUAACAAUUGGCUGGUCACUCCUGAGCGUAAUCUACCCCUUCAGAACACUGGGGAUGAAUUUAGAGACAUCGAAGCCUCCUGAUGAGAAAUACGUGUCCACUCACCGGGAGAACUGAAAUACCAGGAGAUUUCUACACAAAUCUCACAGAGUCCUUCUGGCGUCCUAGGGGUUUGCUCACAUAUAAGGGACUUUCUGGUAGGAAGAGAGUCUCUUUACAUUCUUUAUUAUAUGAUCCUGGUGGCUUUGUAGAGAGAUGGUACAGCUGACAGAUCAUGUCCUGUGGGGCCAGGGAGUUGUGUGUGUGUGAAUGCUCUGUGAACUUGGGCAAACUACUUAGCCUCUCUGAGCCUUAGCUGCAUCAGCUUUGAAAAACAGGAUGAUAAAAUGGAGUCACCUUAUUUGACUUUUAUAAAUACACUUACACAAUUACACAAGUUGUGGGGAUGGGAAGAGAGAGUUGGGGAAAGAGAAAUGAGAGAGAGAGAGAGAGAGAAUGAAUGAUAAACAAUUUAAACAACAGUGGGGUGUAGACCAACGCCCAGCCUGGCAAGGGUGAGCCCAGAGAGCCUUCCCUCCUGGCUAUUGGCAGCCUCCGCAUGGAAGCCUGUCGUUGACUUCUUAAUGAUGAGAGAUGUUCUGGGGGCACUCCAGGAUUCUUGGACAUGGGAUCGUCUUCACAGCUGUGUCUAUUGAAAGCUGAAGUUUCAGUCUCCCCUGCCCCCUGCCCCCUGGAGUGGCUUCCCAGGGGAAAUUCAAGGGCACCUGUGACUGCAUGGCUGCUUUCCUUUCCUUUACUCAAUGCCGUCCUUUGGUGACAGCCGUGUCUCAUGCCAGGAUACAUGAGGUGCUCUAUAGUAGUAUGUUUUCCCUCCUGGGAGGUAAUUUUAUUUAAAUGUGAAGUCAAAAGGAUCACUAAAUAGAACCAUGAGGCAACCACUCUGGGCACCUGCCUGGUGAUAUCCACAAGAGCUGACCACAGGUGCCCCCUGUGCCCAGCAAGUCCUUGGCUGGGCAGUCACACAACAGGCAUGGGGAUGUGUGGCCACCAAGCCCUCCAGGGCAGUGCUAUUUGUAAUAGUCCCAAAUGGGAGAGAUGGCAAACGCCCGCCAAUGGGGCAGCAUGGAUAAAUGGAUGCUGCACAGCAACGGCGAUGAGUGAGCCCCAGCACCCGUGAGCUCACCAGUGUAAUAUUGGGUGGAAGAAGCCAGGAGGAAGGGCAUUCACAUUCUGUGAUUCCAGCUACACUAUGUUUAAAUAUGGGCAGAGCUAGGCUGUGGUGCUGGAAGCCAGGACAGUGGGAUCCUUGCAUGGGGGUGAUGGUGCUGGUAGGUUCUGGUAAUUUCCUCUUCUUGAUCUGGGUGUAAACAUUUUGUGAAAAUUCAAUGAGCUGUACAUUUAUGACUGGUACAUUUAUGACUUUGUAUGAAUAUUAUACUUUCAUAAAACUACUUUAAAAUAUGAUUGUGAACCUUUUUUCACCUAUUUUCUGCCAAUUAGCACCGAAUUGCUCACUAACUAAUGAGUGGUGCUGGUUUUGACUUGCUUGCUACACUGUCUUGAGACAGAUAGGGUUUUCUGUGCUUUGUAUGACCCCCUCUGGAACCAGGGUGGGACUGGGAACACUCGGAAAACAUGUGCUGACAGAUGCUGGGCAUCCCCGUGUUGGUGGAGGCAUGCUCAUUCCUCAGCAAAAUACCCAUAUGGGGUGUUGGCAGGAAAGAGGACAGAAAAGGACAAAGUAUUUGUCUCUGCUAGCGUUCCUGGAGCUGUCUCACCUUGGCCAAGCCCCCGCCCAGUCCUCUCCUAACGUGGACAGACUAGGGGGCAGAAACUAGUCAGCCAAAGAAUUUCCAAGCUAGGGGUUGAUGAAUGCUUGGAUAAUUUGCCCAUGAACACGUUGGAUUCUUCUUCACUUGCCAUCACGGGGGGAUAAGUACCCCAGUUUUUUUUUGGAGAGAAUUGAGGGACUGUGCCAUUGCAGUGUGGAUUUCAAGAGAUUUUAAACGGAAGGCAGAGUAACAGUGUGGUUUGGGAAGCUCUAAAGACAGUUGUCCUGGUGCGGUUUCUUCCAUAAAAGAGUGGGGACGCCAUGGACCUGCUCACCAAAUUCCAGUCCCGACACAGUUCUGUGAGGCACUCUCCACAUCAGGGCAGACGGGCAGGAGGAGUUUACACAGCGAUCUGGGGGCCAUUAGAGCACUGAGGGAUCCAUUGCUGUCUCUUGUUUCUGUUUCCCACACUGUGCUGGGUGCUGGGAACAUGACGAUGAACUUGAAGGAAAUAAUGUGUACGGUGGUUCAUUUCCAAGACAUAGUGCCUUGAAUCAGUUUAGGUCAGCAAACUACAGAAGAAACAGGAUAUACUAGGCCCCUGCUUGGAGAGCUGAUGCCUGUUUGUUGCCCCUCACCCCCUUAGUUGCCCUUACCAGAACCAAAGGAGUUUAGUCUAAGAUGAAAGUUUACUAGCCUGCAAAAUAGCUCACUUUGUCUGUUCUUAUCAGCCUGCCCAGCUACUUAGGUCAUAAGUGAAAUACUUGAAGAGCCCCUGAGCUAACUAGGAUUGCAAUGCAUUGUGGCUGCAACAAGAUGCAGCAAGACAACUGUAAAGAAAAUGCCUAAAACCCCUACCCACCAACCCAUAGGCGAUGUCCAGGAAGACUGUGACCUCCAUAGUACUCAGCAUUUGAGGAACUGGGGGAGGGACCUGUGCACUAGGGGAUAAAUUGCUUGUUGAAACUGUGCUGGGUGUGCCUGUCCAUCAGAUACCCUAUCUUGCAAGACUGUCG